rnacentral:rRNA from 1 species
ACCAAAGCCGGGGCAACCUGGCGCUUUUGGAGGAGCUCGUGGCCUAUCAGCUAGUUGGUGAGGUAACGGCUUACCAAGGCAACGACGGGUAGCUGGUCUGAGAGGACGACCAGCCACACUGGAACUGAGAUACGGUCCAGACACCUACGGGUGGCAGCAGUCGAGAAUUUUUCUCAAUGGGGGAAACCCUGAAGGAGCGACGCCGCGUGGAGGAUGAAUGCUUUCGGGUUGUAAACUCCUGUCAUUUGGGAACAAGGCCUUACGUUAACUGCGUGGAGGAUUGAUAGUACCAGAAGAGGAAGAGACGGCUAACUCUGUGCCAGCAGCCGCGGUAAUACAGAGGUCUCGAGCGUUGUUCGGAUUCAUUGGGCGUAAAGGGCGCGUAGGCGGCGGGGUAAGUCUGGUGUGAAAUCUAGGAGCUCAACUCCUAAACUGCACUGGAUACUGCUCUGCUAGAGGACUGGAGAGGAGACUGCAAUUCACGGUGUAGCAAUGAAAUGCGUACAUAUCGUGAGGAAGACCAGUGGCUUAAUGCGGGUCUCUAGACAGUUCCUGACACUGAGGCGCGAAGGCCAUUGGGAGCAAACGGGGAUUAGAUACCCCGG